UUUUUCUGAGGCUGGCUUUGAACUCUUGGAUCAUCCUGUCUCAGCCUCCUGAGCCACUGGGAUUACAGGAGUAUGCCACCGUGCCUGGCAAACCUUUCACUUUAAAGGCUGCUUGAAAUAUAAAAUUUCUCUGAUAUAUCACCAUACAUAUAAUGUUGUCAAAGGCAACACUUGGGUUCUUUUACUGUUUAUUUAUAGAGCGGGCUUUGAGGAGAAGAAGGAAGAGUUUAAAGACUUGUGAGUAAAAAGAUCAAUGGAGGACAGAGGAGGAAGUUUCCUCUUAAUGUCCCUAACAUGAGCCAGGUCCUGUGUGAACUUCUGAAACAGCCCAGGUUUUCUUUAAGUUCCUUCCCUGUCAGUCUCCAGAGUAGUCCUACUUUGGGGGACAUAGUGUUGUUGCCUCCCUACUCCUCUAAGUGCCCGGAACUAUGAAAUUAAGCUUACUUACCCCAAAUUUCUAUUUUUUUUUUCCAGUCUGAUUAGUCACAGCAACAUAUUUGGAGGAAAGUAAUUAGGUUAUACUAAUUUACUACAAGGUAGGAAAGAUUAGCAGCCCUGUUACACUUAUAAUGGGUUUAUAUUUUUAUAAAAAAUGUCAUAACUCAGACCAGUCUCUAAUAGAAUUUUAGGCAAUAUAAUAGAAAAAAAUUUUUUUAAAUAUCAUGUAAUGUUGAGGAAAAUAUUUUAGGUUGGGAAGCUAACAUGUAGACAAGCUGACCCCAUUCAGUGUCUGCUUUUCUAGGUUGCUUUCUUCCUUUAUCUAGUUUUGAAAGCUUCUACUUUUAAAAUGAUAGCAACCAUGAAGAGAGUUGAAGGCUGUAUAUAAGUCAGUACAUAGAGGCAAAGAUUGCUUUUCUGUUCCUUUUAAUGGAUAUGCUUAUUAGACUGUAUCCUAGUAUGUCUUGGCUUUCAUAGUUGUGUUUUAGUUCUCUUUAGUUUGGAUUAUGUAUUCUUACAGAAAAAAAAAGUUAUCAUUUAAAGAAUAUAAUCUUCCUCAUCCCAGAAAGGAGGUGUGGUGGGUAAAAGAAUUUAUAGAUGCAUAAGACUUAUUUUCUUAACUUGCUGCAUUGCAUUUCCCUUCCCCCUUAAUUUUAGGUGCUUCUAAAGUAAAGAAAUAUCGUAAAUUAAUUUUAGAGCAGGCAAAAACAACAAGCCUGGAACUGGUUCCAGAAGAGCCGACAGAGCCUGUGCCACCUCUUAUAGUUGAUCGUGAGAGAUUGAAGAAAUUGCUUGAUUUGUUGGUAGAUAAAAGCAACAAUUUGACAGUUGAUCAGCUUGAGAGAUUAUAUUCUCUUCUUAGUCAGUGCAUCUAUCGUCAUCGUAAAGAUUAUGACAAAUCACAACUUGUAGAGGAGAUGGAAAGAACAGUUCAUAUGUUUGAGACAUUCCUAUGAACUUUUCAAGAUGAGUGGUUGAUCCUCUCCAAUCUGCUCCUGACAGAGCAGUCUUCUGAGCCAUUCACUUUCAAAUUGCACCAAUUAUGUGCAGAGCCUUGGUGUAAAGUGCUCUCUCACUCAUUCUCUCUCUCUGUUGAAUUUGGUGCUAUUGUCUCAGGUACCUGAAACCAACCAGCCUACAAGAACCAAACAGAACUUCAGAAAUUUGUUGUAUUUUCCACAAAUAAAAAAAUACAACCCCACAGCUUGGAGAUUUUGGUGCUACAGAAACUGCUUUUGCUUCUGCUCCUCCUUUUCGUGCACUGUCUUCUGGAGAUUCUCUUAGGGAGCAGACCAGCAGCAGGAGGAAGCUGGGUGGGCAGUUCUAACUGUGUUGGAUUGUUUAAACAGUGGGCAACCUGUUUUUUGGGUUUCACUUUUUUCCCCCCCUUCUUUUUCCUUUUUUAUCUCUUAUCAUAUUUUCCCCUCUCUGGGUAAUGGACUGAAGCCUGUUUUAAAGUUGGCUAUGAUAUAUUCUGGUGGGAAACUGAAGAAACCAGAUGGAAUUAGAUUAGGCUCUUUAGAACUGCCUUUAAUGUGCCUUUUUAUUCAUUUGAGAAAGAUAAGGCUAAAUGGAUGAGCUCAUUUGUAGCAAAUAAAUUAAAAUAUUUUCUUUGGUUACAACCUUGACAAUAAGUUUCAAUACUCUGUAUCAUUAAGAGACAACUAAUGUUUUGGUAUUGAUGCCUGUCUUGUUCUCAAAGCUCAAUCAAGACACUGAGUAAACCACAUAAUAUACUAAAAAUGGUAAGUUUUUCUGUUUCUGUGUAAGAAACAUGUGAUAAAACAAUGAUAAAUAAUGCACAGUCCAUAACAAAAACUCACACACUUCUCCUUAUUGCUGACAGUGAUGACCAGAGAAUGGAUAGUAGCCAUUCUUCUGUCAGUGGCAAUUUAAUAGUUCUUCGAGUUCCCAGAGAAAAAUGAUUUUCAUGUGUAAUAAAUUGUUAUUGUUUUGUUUUAAAGCCAGGACUUGCCAAAUGAACAGAAAAGAGGAAUUUGUCAGAGGCUCCAUAAAAUUCAUUUUCUGUAUAAUUACAAGUGAGCUCUGGUAUGGUCCUUGAAUAACAGUAUUAAUGUUUGAAUCCCUUCUCAUAAGCUUAUCUUCACAACUCUUCAUUUUGGUUGGAAUCUAUUUUGGAUCUUGUUGAGUGAUUUCUGUGAAUUUUACUUACCUGAAAUUAAUUAUGGGUUACUAGUUUUACAAAAACUUUCUAUAAAUUUGGAGACACAGUCUAGGCAGUUGCAAAGAGGCAAAGGGAGUGCAGUAACAUUUUUUAUCAGAUAAUUUUUUUAAAAAGUGUAGAAAAUUUUGCCGACAAGUUGGCUUGCUAUCUUCAUUUAUUAUAGCUGUUAGCUGCAGGUGUGUCUUUCCAAUAUAUGCAACACAUGUAGUUUGAGUUUUAAUUAGGGCACAUGGUCGUGGACUACUGCAGAGAUACUGAGCUACCUCAGCUUUUUGUGUUUUAGUUACCAACAGUGUUUACAGAGUCCUGUAAUCACUUUACCACCGUUUACAUGCUGAAGCUAAGGUACUUGUCUCCUUGUCUCUGGCUGUCUGUAGUGUGCAGAAAGCACACUUUGGCCUAGGCUACUGCAGUAAUCCCAAGUGCUUCUUUGCAUUUACCUUUACAUUUACUGCCUUCUAGUUCUAGCUUCAUUUUUUUUCCUAAAAUGCCACUUCUUUUCUUUAUGCGUAGUCUAUGAAGUUUUCAUAAUAUUCAGUUUAUCAUAUAAUUCAAGAUGAUACCCAUGUAGACACACUGUAUUUUUAAGGUGGGCAAGUGCGAUUAACGAUGAACCAUUUUAAAGGGGAGGUUAUUUGAAACCUCUAAUUUGAUUAUUGGGAGGAUUUUCAUGCUUUCUUUAGUAUUUAUUACCAUCAUACCAGUUCAAACUAUUUUACUGUCUAAUACAUUAGCAUUUUGUAUUUUGAUGGAAAUUGUUACAGAAUUUAAAGAUUUGAUGAAAUAAGAUGUAGCAGAUUUUUUGUAGCAAGUUUCUGGUAAAAGGGUUUUUUGCAAGUCUCAGGUUCUUGCUGCACUAUUUUUUUUUUUUUUUUUACUAUUUAUUCCAGUUACUCUAAUUCAGAAGCAUUCUGUUCAAGUAACAGCAGCACUUGUGAAAGGAAAAAGAAACAACGCACAUGUUCUUAGUAGAUUACUAAAUUUAUAAAAGUUAAUUAAGAUUUUAGCCAUCAGUGAGUUUGACAAGGGAAAUUUAUUUAUGUCUGGCAUUAAAAUGCUUCCAAAAGAUCAAGAUUUUGUUUUUGUUUAUCCUUCAUGUAGAUGGAGAAAUCAGAGGCAACCUCAGUAUAGGAACUGCCACUUUGAACAGUUUAGGUCUUAAAGAGAAAGCCAAUUUCAUGCCAGGGGGAGAAAAAUGAGCUGAAAUUGUACCAACUCUUCAGACUCCUUUUCCCCCUAAGAAAGAAACACACUACAACCAGUUUCACUUAUUUUACAAAUACCUGGUGGUUCUAUAGUUUAAAGCAGCUUGUGAAAUUAUCCAAGUGGACUCAAUUUUGUUUACCUUUCUGUAAGUUCUUAAUUUUUGCUGUAUAGCAUUGGCAAAAAUAUGUACAAAUUGACCUCUGUUCUUAUUUCCUAUUGUGAGCAUUAUAAAUGAUAAGCUCCAGUGUAAAAUCUUGCUCUCAGAUCAGUAAAAUACAUAUCACAGCCCAGCCCAGCAGUAGUUCAUGCUCAGCUGUAGGGACUCUGGGAGCAUUUUGAAGAUGAUAGAACCACAUUAGGGUUGAAACUGAUGGCUGUGGAGUUAAUUGUGUUUUUGAGCUUGAAUCUUACCUGUGAUUGAGUUUUUUUUAAUGUCCUUUUAUGACUUGAUUUUUCUCAUAUGCCAAUGUAUUUGUAGGUUUACUGGAUUUUACUUUUAGGGAGUGGGGUGGUCAUUUCUUCCCUUUUCUGAUUAAGUUGAUUCAGCUAUGGUGCUAUUCAGUAGGUGUCUUCAGUGUCAGGUCCCGUAGCUGAAUGCCAUUGUUAUUAUAAUUAUUAUUUGUAAUCAUAUUGUAAGCUUGAAUUUGGGCUUGUACUUGCAUCUUUUGUAUUUUGUACAUUUGGUUACUUAGAUUUGGGAGUCCUAUUUGGUUUCAGUCAUGUAUGUCUACUUUGUAGAUUAAGUAGACUUCAUCAACUAUGGUCUAUUUUGGGUUUGUAGUUUAAUUUAGAAUUGUGUUAAAUUGAUGUUUUACAUUUGACUUCAUUUUACCUUAGUUUGAAGUAAAUUAUUUAAUUUUUGAAUUCUGGAAUUUGAACAUUUACUGUAAUUUGUAAUAUAACUGCUGUGAAAUACUUGAAUAAAGAUGAUAAGAAAAACACAGUUUUCUUUAGCUUAAUUAUGAUGACUGUUGGCUGCAAAUCCUGUGCUACUUUUCUGUUGGUGUCAUCUAUUUUACAAUUAGAGGAUAUAAAUGUGUAUUAAGUGCCUCGGAAAAUCUUGUUAUAUGCUUCUUUUUGAUUCUGAGUACACCUGAGGAUUUUUUUUUUUUUUUUAGCUGAAAGCUUUUUCUGUUGAGAAAAUGUGGUUUUAAUUUAGUUGAAGAUUGUCUAAACUAGACAUCAAAUUGAAUGGAAUCAAAUGGAUGACUUUUGAAAUUUGUUUUUCUAUCUGAAUAUUUAGAUAAAGACCUGAUAAUUGCAGUUGAAGCUCAAUCAAGAUUUUAGAACUUUGGAGAUGAAGUUAAGCUUUAUUUAUCCAGAUUUAGUUCCCAAAGGACUCAAAACUACAGUAAAAUCAGAGAUCGAUUGACCAGUUGUUCCCUUCACUUCUUAAAGACUGAAGACCAGGCCCUGUGCCUUUUAAGGUAGUUGAGGAUAAAAAGUUAUUAAGAUUUGGUUAGAGAAGACAUUCACAAGGGUCUUGGUAGCUCAUUCCAGAGUUUUAGCACUAAAAUACAUGGCAACCUAUUGUAAUUCUCUUGGUUACUUUACUUUGAACCCUUUCUAAUUCUUCCAUUUUUUGUGAUGAUCUUCACAAAAGAAAAUUUCUGGUUGAAAAAUAGGGGAGAGAUUACUUUUUGUUCCUUAUUUUUUAAAAAUAUAUGUAUAUAUUUAUGCAGGAGCUGGGGAUGUGGUCUAUGUUAGGACACUUGCCUAGUAUGCGUGAAGUCCUGGGUAUUAGUAUUAUAAUUGUUUGCAUUGUUUCCCCAUAGUUUGUAUUAUGUUCUUAUGAUUGCCCAGAAAUGGAUUCACUGGCUCGGGAUGAACAUCCCUCAGACUCCUGAUAACCCGGUGCCUGCCAUCUUGCUGUUUUCGGACCUUGCAGAUCUCACUGCUCCUCAUCAGCACUUGGAAUACCCCCUUUUAGGCUGAGAGAGUUAAUUUAGUAGGUACAAGAUAUUAUCUAAUUAUUUUGAUUUUUAUUAUUUGGUAACUACAAAUGUUGAACUUUUUGUUAUGUAUUUAUUGGCCACAUUUUCUCCUAUGUAGAUCUAGUACCUGUUUUUUGCUGGAAUUAUUUAACAUUUUCUUAUUGCAUUUUGGGCUUUUUAAUAAAGAUUAAUUCUGUAUCA